UUGAGGCGUGGCUUCCGGAGCUAACGCGUUAAGUCGACCGCCUGGGGAGUACGGCCGCAAGGUUAAAACUCAAAUGAAUUGACGGGGGCCCGCACAAGCGGUGGAGCAUGUGGUUUAAUUCGAUGCAACGCGAAGAACCUUACCUACUCUUGACAUCCAGAGAAUUCGCUAGAGAUAGCUUAGUGCCUUCGGGAACUCUGAGACAGGUGCUGCAUGGCUGUCGUCAGCUCGUGUUGUGAAAUGUUGGGUUAAGUCCCGCAACGAGCGCAACCCUUAUCCUUUGUUGCCAGCGAGUAAUGUCGGGAACUCAAAGGAGACUGCCGGUGAUAAACCGGAGGAAGGUGGGGAUGACGUCAAGUCAUCAUGGCCCUUACGAGUAGGGCUACACACGUGCUACAAUGGCGCAUACAAAGAGAAGCGAACUCGCGAGAGCAAGCGGACCUCAUAAAGUGCGUCGUAGUCCGGAUUGGAGUCUGCAACUCGACUCCAUGAAGUCGGAAUCGCUAGUAAUCGUAGAUCAGAAUGCUACGGUGAAUACGUUCCCGGGCCUUGUACACACCGCCCGUCACACCAUGGGAGUGGGUUGCAAAAGAAGUAGGUAGCUUAACCUUCGGGAGGGCGCUUACCACUUUGUGAUUCAUGACUGGGGUGAAGUCGUAACAAGGUAACCAAU
rnacentral:rRNA from 1 species